AGAGUUUGAUCCUGGCUCASNNUGAACGCUGGCGGUAUGCUUAAUACAUGCAAGUCGUACGAGGGCUUUUAGCCCUAGUGGCGGACGGGUGAGUAACACGUGAGAAUCUGCCCUUAGGAGGAGGAUAACAGCUGGAAACGGUUGCUAAUACUCCAUAUGCCGAGAGGUGAAAGGAAUUUCUGCCUAAGGAGGAGCUCGCGUCUGAUUAGCUAGUUGGUAGGGUAAAGGCCUACCAAGGCGACGAUCAGUAGCUGGUUUGAGAGGAUGAUCAGCCACACUGGGACUGAGACACGGCCCAGACUCCUACGGGAGGCAGCAGUAGGGAAUUUUCCGCAAUGGGCGAAAGCCUGACGGAGCAAUACCGCGUGAGGGAUGACGGCCUGUGGGUUGUAAACCUCUUUUCUCAAGGAAGAAGUUCUGACGGUACUUGAGGAAUAAGCAUCGGCUAACUCUGUGCCAGCAGCCGCGGUAAUACAGAGGAUGCAAGCGUUAUCCGGAAUCACUGGGCAUAAAGCGUCUGUAGGUGGUUUGGUAAGUCUGCUGUUAAAGACUGGGGCUCAACCCCAGAAAAGCAGUGGAAACUGCCAGACUUGAGUGUGGUAGAGGUAAA
rnacentral:rRNA from 1 species